rnacentral:rRNA from 1 species
CAGCCGCCGCGGUAAUACGAAGGGGGCUAGCGUUGUUCGGAAUUACUGGGCGUAAAGGGCGCGUAGGCGGCGUGACCAGUUAGAAGUGAAAGCCUUGGGCUCAACCUGAGAAUUGCUUUUAAUACUGUCAUGCUAGAGUUCGGGAGAGGUGAGUGGAAUUCCCAGUGUAGAGGUGAAAUUCGUAGAUAUUGGGAAGAACACCAGUGGCGAAGGCGGCUCACUGGACCGACACUGACGCUGAGGCGCGAAGGCGUGGGGAGCAAACAGGAUUAGAUACCCGGUAGUCCCUGUCUCUUAUACA